GACAGAGGCCCCAAGCGUUAGGCGGAAUCACUGGGCUUAAAGCGUGUGUAGGCGGACUGGUAAGUACCUUGUGAAAUCCCACGGCUCAACCGUGGAACUGCUUGGUAUACUGCUUGUCUUGUGCAACCUAGGGGCGAGCGGAACAGAUGGUGGAGCGGUGAAAUGCGUAGAUAUCAUCUGGAACGCCAAUGGUGAAAACAGCUCGCUGGGGGUUUGCAGACGCUGAGACACGAAAGCCAGGGGAGCAAACGGG
rnacentral:rRNA from 1 species